UACGUAGGUGGCAAGCGUUGUCCGGAUUUAUUGGGUUUAAAGGGUGCGUAGGCGGCUUUGUAAGUCAGUGGUGAAAUAUGGCAGCUUAACUGUCAAGGUGCCAUUGAUACUGCGGAGCUUGAGUACAGAUGAGGUAGGCGGAAUUGACGGUGUAGCGGUGAAAUGCUUAGAUAUCGUCAAGAACACCUAUAGCGAAGGCAGCUUACUAGGCUGUAACUGACGCUGAGGCACGAAAGUGUGGGGAGUCAAACAGG
rnacentral:rRNA from 1 species